GACGAACGCUGGCGGCGUGCUUAACACAUGCAAGUCGAGCGGAAAGGCCACUUCGGUGGUACUCGAGCGGCGAACGGGUGAGUAACACGUGAGUAAUCUGCCCUGGACUUUGGGAUAGCCACCGGAAACGGUGAUUAAUACCGGAUACGACGACUCCACGCAUGUGGUGGUUGUGGAAAGUUUUUCGGUUCAGGAUGUGCUCGCGGCCUAUCAGCUUGAUGGUGGGGUAAUGGCCUACCAUGGCUUCGACGGGUAGCCGGCCUGAGAGGGUGACCGGCCACACUGGGACUGAGACACGGCCCAGACUCCUACGGGAGGCAGCAGUGGGGAAUAUUGGACAAUGGGCGGAAGCCUGAUCCAGCAACGCCGCGUGAGGGAUGACGGCCUUCGGGUUGUAAACCUCUUUCAGUACCGACGAAGCGAAAGUGACGGUAGGUACAGAAGAAGCACCGGCCAACUACGUGCCAGCCGCCGCGGUAAAAC
rnacentral:rRNA from 1 species